UGUCCUCCCAGUGCCUUCAUCUGCUUGCUGAUUCAAGGUUGCAUUUGCUUUAAUCUGAUGCUGAUAGUUUCUGGAGUUGGUGAACUCAAAAUCUGCAGGAAAUCCAUGCAGCCUGUAGCAAUCAUCAUGUAUAUGCCCUGUUUUCCCACAAUAGGUGCAUGACAGAUUCCAGUUCUGGAGCCUUGCAGGUUCCAUUGAUGAAACCAAGUUUCUUCUUGGCUGAUAGGGAUAAAAGGAUGGAUCUCCUCCAACCUGGAUAACCUCUUCCAUCGAAAACAUUGUUGACUAGAGUCAUACCAGGCAUUUUGUUUUAAUAGGGAUUCUGAAGAUGAUGAUGAUGCAGAUUUUGAAGAUGAUGAUGAUGUUGAUGGGUUUUAUACGGAUCUGAAUUGAGCUUAGAGAUGCUCUGAUACCAUGUAAAAAUUGAAGAGGGGAAGAUGCUGAGAUACAAUUUUUGUGUGUAUUCAUCUUUGGUAUGUACAUUAGUUUAUAUAGAAUUAUACAAUAGCUAAAAUGGAGACAAGAAGACAUGGGCUAUUUUUAAUUUUGUGCAAAACUUUAUUCUACUUGCCCAUAAUUAUAUGGGCAUAACUAUAUUUAAA